GAAAUGCGAUAAGUAAUGUGAAUUGCAGAAUUCAGUGAAUCAUCGAAUCUUUGAACGCACCUUGCGCUCCUUGGUAUUCCUUGGAGCAUGCCUGUUUGAGUAUCAUGAAAUCUUCAAAGUAAAUCUUUUGUUAACUCAAUUGGUUUCUACUUUGGUAUUGGAGGUCUUUGCAGCUUCACACCUGCUCCUCUUUGUUCAUUAGCUGGAUCUCAGUGUUAUGCUUGGUUCCACUCGGCGUGAUAAGUUAUCUAUCGCUGAGGACACUGUAAAAGGUGGCCAAGGUAAAUGCAGAUGAACCGCUUCUAAUAGUCCAUUGACUUGGACAAUACUUUUAUGAUCUGAUCUCAAAUCAGGUAGGACUACCCCCUGAACUUAAGCA
rnacentral:misc_RNA from 1 species